GCUUAGAGAGGGGUCAAUGUCCUAUCAGCUAGUUGGUAAGGUAAUGGCUUACCAAGGCUAAGACGGGUAGCCGGCCUGAGAGGGUGGUCGGCCACACUGGGACUGAGACACUGCCCAGACUCCUACGGGAGGCUGCAGUCGAGAAUCUUUCGCAAUGCCCGAAAGGGUGACGAAGCGACGCCGCGUGUGGGAAGAAGGCCUUCGGGUUGUAAACCACUGUCGGGAGUUAAGAAAUGUAAGGGUGUUAAUAGCAUCCUUACUUGACUAAGGCUCCGGAGGAAGCCACGGCUAACUCUGUGCCAGCAGCCGCGGUAAUACAGAGGCGGCAAGCGUUGUUCGGAAUUAUUGGGCGUAAAGAGCACGUAGGCGGCUUUGUAAGUCAGUUGUGAAAGCCUUCUGCUUAACGGAAGAACAGCAUCUGAUACUGCAAGGCUAGAGUGCGGAAGGG
rnacentral:rRNA from 1 species